CAGCGAUAGUAGCUCUCCGCUAUCGGAAACAUACCGUCCCGCUAACGACUAUCGCUCCAAAACCGCCAGCAACGCUGCUGCCGCCUUCAUCACUGCAGCCGCAAACGAUAAUGACAAGCAUUCUAGUCAGAAAACGUGCUUCAAGCAAGUGCAAUUCCAUCUUAAUAAUAUGGCCUUUUCGGCUCCUUUGCUAAAGAAUAAAUUCAGCGCUCCUAUUAAUCCCUCCUGUACGGCUAGUUCAGCUGUUGCCAACACCGCACAGGUUGCUAGCACUCAAGCGAGACUUUUGAGUCAGAUUCCGAUUUUGCGAAACGUACGAAAAACGAGAAAGAAACGCAAAAAGGUGAAACCUUCUGAAUUGACCAUGGCAAAGGAAGAACAUCAGAACAAAGAGCUUUCUAGCCUACCUCCUUCCAAGGCCUUUCUCUAUGCCUGUCUUAGCCGUUCUUCGUUGGUUCCCGACACGAAGGACAUUGUGUACAACGGAACCUAUCCCAUUGAUCAACCUCUCUGUAGUCGCUUCAAAACGUGCAGUUUCAGUCUUAGCAGUACCGAUACUGAAAUGGGUGGUACCCAGGUUCUCAAUGCGCCUGCUUCACAACAGAAUUCGUCCGGUGCCACUAUCGAUAGUGUGUUAAGAAAAAGAAAUUCUAUAGAGAAUAAAUAUGCUAAAACGUUUGCCAUAGACGAGCCGAUUUAAGUAAACGCGUAGAUACAUCGCUUGGGUAAAGUAGAAUUAAGACGUUAUUUUCGUGAUUUUUUGUAGUUUAAAAAUAGAUGUAUAUCUGUAUCCGUUCAGGCCUUGCAAACAAUGAAAUCUGGAAUUGAUUUUUGUAAUCAGAUGAUAAAACGAUAUACGUUUUGAAUUUCUUGCAAUGCUCUUGUUACAAGUGCGUCAUAUGUUGUAUCGGUCUAACACGCAGAUGGCGUCACUAAUUAAAGGUCCUUCCCACGUUCAAUAGAAACAGCCUUCAGAUGUCAUUUAUCAAAUAAAUUUCAAAAUCUUCGUUUCAUUCGUGUGUUAGUUGUUGUACUUUCAAGGACGCUACUUUUGAAAAAUUAGAAACUAUGUCGUGUGAUGAUUUAAUGGAAAUCAAAAAAACAAUACUGUGCAGUGCAAGAAACGGCUUGAUAUGCAUAAUCCGGACUCUCAAUCAUUGUUGACUAGUAUGCUAAAUUUAAACGUAAUCGUGAAAACCUCGCUGAUGCACCACGCUUUAAUCGUCCAAAUGAGGCUAAUGUUCCGCCAAUCAUCUUAAAAGUUCAUUUCAUCGUUCUAGAAAAUCUAAAAGUGAAAUUGUAGGAGAUAGCUGACAUUUUAUGGAUUAGACAGUUGUACAUGAGCACAUGAUUAUGGAAAAAAAAAUUUACAAAAUUUAUACCACGUUUGUUCACAGCUGAUCAAAAUCAACUUAUCGUUACGAUAGCCAAAAUCCCACGAAUUGAAAUUCGAAUUGCUACCGUAUCCAUAAAAUUCGCCAGAUUUUGCCCCCAGCAACCGAUUUCUGUUCUCAAAUUUGCAUCGAAUGAAGAGGUCUUUCUGAUACUGAAGCGUUAUUUUAGACUGAGAAGAUUGAGGUAUUAAAUUGGUGUAGAGAUAUUGGAACGCCAUUGGAACAAUUGUAUUGCUCUUCAAAGAAAAUACAUUGAUGAAUAAAAUCGAAAUUUAGAAAUAAAGUGUAGCUUUGUCGGCGACUUUUUGACCUUUUCUCUUGGCUUUUCACUAAAUUGAUUGCGUUUUUCUUGGAGAUUGGUUAAUCGGAUUUGGAUUGAGAUAGGGAUACAAAUUCUGGUAAAAAGACCUUUGCUUUGAACCUAGGUAAUUCCAAUAUGUAGUUUUUAUAUGUAGCUUAGUACUUACUAUUUCAUUUAGUGUAUUUGUACCUUAUUCAACGUUGUCCUCAAAGAAAAACAAGUAAAAAGAAAUCUCAUUAAAUCCCAGAGCCAGUUGUUACUGCGGGUAAGCUUACUGAUCCAGUGACUGAAUGUAGAAAAUGUCCGUCACCUCUCCGUCCUACUGCGCUAAACUAGAUUUCCAGUUAAGAGUAGUAAGCAUUCUAGCACGUUUGUAAGUCAAAAAUCUUACUUUAAUUUGAAACACAAUUUUGAGUUGAUUCAAACUGUAAAUCUGUUCAUGAUCCAUACACAUGAGGGUGCCAAUCAUAUUGCUUAGAGGUGACAAAUUUAGUAUGGAGACUGUUUUGAAGUGCUAAAGUUUUCGGGCACUACCAAUUUGUGAAAUUCAGAGAUGACCUUCUUUGGCACCCUAAUACGCAUUAGAUUUGUAUUCCGAAUCUCGUUUCUGGAAGCAGUAAUGUCCAAAAUUAUAGGUAUGCGUGCAUACGAAUGGCUACCGAGAUGUUACGCUAUUGAAAUCAGAUUUAUCUAAUGGAAUUCUUAUUGCAAAAAAUAGACAGACAUCACAACAAAUCUUUUUUUGCGAUAAUACGAUGUAUAGGGGAGACCGGGGCAAUUAGCGACAAUGAGAAACAUUUUAAAUUCGCGCCACCUAAAUCUAUGUGAUAGGAAGAUUUUGAAAAAAUUGCAGCAAGUGGUGUUCGUAGCCAGUAGUAGGCUGGUAGGGUAACAGAGGUAUUUUGGCCACUUAAUAUAUUUUGGCCCACCUAACAAACUUUAUCGAUUUCAUCGGAUUUUAUCGAUGUUAAGUAACUCAUUUUGCAUCAAUUUGAAGCUAAUCACAUUAAAUUACCUAUUGCGGAAGGGUUUUUUUAAAGAUAUUACAAUAUUUGUGGGAUAUUUUUAUAAAGUGGGCCAACAUUAAAUCAAUCCUAAAGUGGGCCAAAAUACCUCUGUUACCCUACUAAGUUUGGCACGCGUCUAUAUUGUUUUACUAGUAGUAGAACAGAAAACGUGUUUUCGUGUCGUAAAAGUAAAAUUUUGCAAUAGUCGAGGUUAUUUUUGUUAGCAAAGUGAAAAAAUAACAACUUGUUACUAUGGGUCGUAACGGUAGAAUGAAUAAUGUCGUUUUAGUUUAUAAAUUGCACUACACUGGUGUAGCGAAAACUGCACUGAAACCGUUCGUUUUUACCAAUUGCACUACACCAGUGCUACACUUUUUCUGCACCGAUACCACUGGUGUAGCGCUCAUCAAAUAUUUGGUGUAGCUCUGUCACAGAGCUGAAAGAGCCUCUGUGCAAUGGAAUCGUUUAUUGUAGUCAAUGGUUACUGUUUAUGUUUUCGUCAUUGUUGUUCGUUUAUUGAUGCCUCAGUGUAGCACUGCACUUGGUCACAAAUUUAUCUGAAGAUAACAGAUACAUCUGUAUAUGUGGCAACCCUGUAUUAUAAUUCACACACAUUCGUAUGUCAGGUAGAAUUCACAGCGCAACCCAAGCAAGGAAAGCUGCUUCGUUCGUUCAUUAGUUCAUGAAUAUGCCCGCUAUCUGAGACCUAUGCUUCACGAGGUUAGCAUUUGAUGAAUGGUUCGCAUAUUGAAGAAGCCUAUGAAGAAACUAGAUUCAUAACUUUUAGUUCCGAUGAAUAUUAAUUUAAAGAACAUUGCUUUUAAUGUUUCUAGGAUAUGUACACAGUGUAAACUCCCAAGAAACAAAUUGAUCGUACUGAAAAUGGGCUCAAAAAUUUCUGCUAUAAAAUGUUUAAAGUAUGUUUGAAAUGUGAUCAAAUUUGGUCUUAGAAUGCGAACAUUAUGUUCAAAAAUGAUUUCUGUAAACCUACACUGUGAAAACACCGUAAACAUGGCCUAUUUGACUAUGCUUCGCUUCAUGUGUUAACUGAGACUGAGAGCACAGGCAAUUUACUAUAGGCAAGGGAAUUAUUCUGCUCAGUAGCAUAUACUCUCAUGCAUUCAGUUUCUCUCUAAUAUUGGUCUCUCAUUCGGCUAUGUCAAGCAAAGUGUUCACAGCAGAUGUUUUUCGUUGCUUCGUUCGUUUGAGGAUUCACAAUACAAGGCCUGGUAAGAAGAACUAUAAGGUAGACCACAUCAGGAUGAUCUGAUUUACUCUUUUUGAUUUCAGUUUCAAUUAUAAUUGCCCCUUCUCCUGUUGUCAGAUUUUACUCUGAAUGUCCACUGGAGUUUGUUUCUGUCAAACUUGUUCUCCAGCAGGCAUAAAACCUCCUCAUCUUUUGUAUAAAUAGAUUAAAAUCAUUCAAAUGAUACAUUUCCUUAAAUAUAGUGAUUCUAUAGUAGCUAAAUCUAAUGAGACAGUAACAUAAAAAAAGAAUGUUUGAUAACAUUACGUGAUAAACGAAUGCCGAAAGAAUUGAACAUUUGUUAAAUAUGCGGCAAAAAAAUAGGAUCGAAGAUUACGUCAAAUGUCAAAUUGUAACAGUUGCAAUUACUCGGAGCAAUCGAUCUGCGACAGAAGUAUGUUUGCCACAAAACUAGCCUUACAAACAUCGCGACGGACAGAUCAUAAAUCGAGACCAAUCAGUUUGCAGCGGUCAUGGUAACAUGGUAAGUUUAAAGGAUAUCUCCAUGGAAGAGAUCGGAGAGCGAAUCGGAGAAAUUAGCGUUGAAUCGCUUCAAUGCGUUGGAUUUCGUUUUGGUAAUAAGGUGAUAACAGCAGCAUAUUCGAACGUUGAGCGAACUGAAGCGCAAUACAGAGCUUACAAGCAAUUUACAUUAGAAAAUUUUGUUAGUAACGCGGAAAAUAAAUCCUAAUAGCUUAGCUCUAUGUGCUCUUAAAAAUUUAACUUGGAUUCCAGAAGAACACCCAGGUCCUUAACAGACGAUGCGCGUUCGAGAACAGUUUGUGGAAUAUUAUACUCGAACAUGAAUACAGACUUUUUGCUACUAAAAGAGAUGACGGAGAAUUGAGUGGCAUUUAAACCCAUUUUGAAAUAUGAAAUAUGAAAGUCAUCGGCGAACGAUGGCUUCAUACACUGGAUCGAAAAAUUAGAUCGUUGAGAUACAAUAAAAUUAUAAACGGUCCAAGGUGACUUCCUUGAGGAACUUCAGAGGUAACAGCAAAUGGUGAGGUUGUACAGUCUCCUAUUUUUACUAUCAUUUCAUGACCAGUUAGAUAUGAUCGAAGCCAAUUUAAAAAUGGUCCGUUUAAUCCCAGUCUACUUAAUUUGAAGAUCGUUAUGUCGGUGUAUAUAGAAUCUACUUUUAGUCGUGCUUGUAAAGAGCGUAUGAUUAUGGAAGUGUAGGUUACUAAAUUUGGGGAAUUUGAAGGCUUUGGCAUGAAUCCAUGCUGAGUCUCAAAUAUGUAGUCAGAGAAACUAUGUGUUAUAAAAUCCAGAACUAUAAUUUCAAACAGCUUCGAUAAAGCGCACAAAGCAGCUAUUACACGGUAGUUGGAUUCACAUAGGAUUUCUUCCAUAUUUCAGGAAAAAAAUCCAGAACGCAUAGAACAAUUGAAAAUGUUGGAUAGAGGAACUAACAAACUAUUAGAACAAUUUCCUAUCACCCACGGAUGGAAUCCCAGAACUACUUCGUUUCUUUUCGUGUCUAACUUCGCUUCGUAAGCCUGUCAUGCCAAUUUUGCUUUAAGAAUGCGAUUGUUAUCAUACACAAAAUUGGUGACCAUAUUAUUGAAGAAUAGCAUUCCAUUUAUCAGGUUCUUUGAAUGUGUUUUCACUGAGACGAUAUCUUCCAUCAGACAUCAAUAUCUUUGAGUGCGAAAAUAUUCUUUCUACUUCCGCAUUGGAAUGGGAAAACGCAAUCACAUAUAUCGAAAAGUUUUUGUAAUUCCUGGUAACAGCUCUGUUGAAAUAGCAACUUGUAUCACUCGAGAUCGAAGAGCAUAAAUUCGAAAUUUUGUCUAAAAAAAACAUUUACUAGAACCGCUUUCUAGUAAAUGUUGGUUUUAUGAGGCGAAAAUUCACCAAUUGCUGAAACGUUCGCCCAUCUUUAAUUUUUUAGGGUUUCGUAAAACUCACAAGCUUAAAAAAUUUGCAAAGAACUUUUAUUAUUCGAUCAAAUAAUUCACAAAUGUGGAAAGAUAGUUUUUAAAAUUCGCGCGAAAUCCGCGCCAUAGCAUCAAAACCUUAACAGAAACCGCGCCAAAUCCGCGCGACCGUAACAACUCUGAAAAUAUGGUUUUACGAUUUUUUUUUAAAUACCGCAUCCUACUAAUAUUAACCGGCUUUUAUUGAUUGAUCAAUUAUGAUUCUCUUCUGAACUGUGGCCUCGAGUUUUGGCACUCUCCUAACUGAAUAUUAAAUAAAUGGAAAAUACUCGAGAAGAUAAAAAAUAACGAACAUACAAUUUGAAUGCAAAACCGUACAAUUUUAGCGAGGAAUUCAAGUGAAUUACCGUGUAUCCUACGCUAUGGCCUUACAACAUCUUAUAGGAGUAUCAUGAUGACAUUUUUCUUGUCGAUAACUAUUAUCUCAUUCAAUGAUUUGUUUUAAUCUUGUUAAGACGUAGAGCCGUCUUGAGCUAGUUUUUUAAUUUAAUUAGUAUCUGAUGAGGAAAACCGAUAUUGAAAAUAUGCCAUGUGAAUGGAAUUAUGUAAUGAAAACCGCGAAAAUGUUACCGCAGAGACGGAACUAGCUCUUAUCCGGGUAAAUUGUUUUGCAACGCAAAGCAGAAAGUGAAGACAGACUUGCGAUGCGGUGUGUGUGUUUUCUGUCGGAUGGGUUUCCAUAGAGUAAGGACUAUAAUUGAAUACUAUGGCGCCCGAGUAAAGCGAUGCAUGCUCGGUUCUUCUAGUCAGUUAGACUGUCUCGUUAUGUGUUUUCAUAUGCUGGAUAGUUUAAUCUCCGGAUACGGGUUCGAAUGCUAUCUACGCGGUAACAUUUUCGCGGUUUUCAUUACAUAGUUGUAUUAGCAUGUCAUUUUUCCAAUCUGUUUCCCUCGUUACAUCCUGAUCAAAUUUAAAUAUGUUCUGACUCUGUAGUGUGAACGUAGUAUUAGAGUAAUUUUGGAUUAUAUUGAAUACAGCAUUGGAAAAAUUUCUAGUGCUCAUACUUUUGAUACUCGUUGUCUUUUUUUUUGCGAAUCUUCCGACAUUUUUAAUAUGUUGUCCUAUUACAGUAUUACAGAAAAUGUUUCAGUGAAAAACUUGCAUACCUUUGCCAACACCAUCAAAAAGCGUUUCUUUCUCGUUUUUCAUUUUAUUAUCGAGUUCGUACUUUUCACGAAAAGCAAUUGUUUUGAAACACUAAACUCUGUCACAAUAUAAACUGUUAUAUGUAUCUUUAGGAGGAAAUAAAAUGUAUUAUAAUAAUAUAAAUGAAGUGAAAAAGCCUUAGUCAAAACUAGAAAGGAAAUAUAUUGAUCAUACUUGUGGAAACUAGUUCACACCAA